rnacentral:ncRNA from 1 species
AUCUAAGCAAUUAUAGAAGACGCGUCAGAAUUUCGAUUCUUUUUAGAGAGUAUCUUGUAUUGGUGAAAAAGAUAUAUAGAUAGAUUUUCUGGUAUCACUUCUUAGCUGAUUUUUUGAACUAAUAGUAAAAAAAUCCGGUUAAGUACCGUUAUAAACUUUUUUAAGGGCACAAAUCGUUUGAUUUGUGAACUAAGGUGGUACCGCGUUAUUAACGUCCUUAGA